AUUGAACGCUGGCGGCAGGCUUAACACAUGCAAGUCGAGCGGAGCGAGGGUGCUUGCACCUUAGCUUAGCGGCGGACGGGUGAGUAAUGCUUAGGAAUCUGCCUAUUAGUGGGGGACAACAUUCCGAAAGGGAUGCUAAUACCGCAUACGCCCUACGGGGGAAAGCAGGGGAUCUCCGGACCUUGCGCUAAUAGAUGAGCCUAAGUCGGAUUAGCUAGUUGGUGGGGUAAAGGCCUACCAAGGCGACGAUCUGUAGCGGGUCUGAGAGGAUGAUCCGCCACACUGGGACUGAGACACGGCCCAGACUCCUACGGGAGGCAGCAGUGGGGAAUAUUGGACAAUGGGCGGAAGCCUGAUCCAGCCAUGCCGCGUGUGUGAAGAAGGCCUUUUGGUUGUAAAGCACUUUGAGCGAGGAGGAGGCUACUAGUAUUAAUACUACUGGAUAGUGGACGUUACUCGCAGAAUAAGCACCGGCUAACUCUGUGCCAGCAGCCGCCGUAACAC
rnacentral:rRNA from 1 species